AUCCAGCUGACGAGUCCCAAACAGGACGGAACGCUUACCCUGUAU
rnacentral:hammerhead_ribozyme from 1 species